ACCAGUGUGGCGUAGUGGUUUGAGUGCUGGACCAUGACUCUGGAGAUCAGGGUUCAAUUCCUGGCUUGGCCA